CCUUGACUCAAGGGGGUUGGGAAGUGUUCAGUCUGGGUAUCAAUCCUGGUCUUCCCAUUUAGAGAGCUGUGCGCCUUUGGGGGUCACCCAGCCUCUGCCUGACCCUUGCAGCGAUAGGCAGUGGGGGAAAGUGAGGCUUCAGCAGGGGUCCACUAAGCUGUCCCUGGUAUUGGUGGCAGAGCGGGAGACACUGGAUGAGCACUGAGAACAACAGCAGAGGCCAAGAAGGCUGACGGCUGUCACGACAAGGAGCAGUUCCAUCGCUGCUCUGGCAGCACCUGGUAUGGACAGACGUCUGCUGAAGGAGCGGAGUAACGAAUGCAGUAAUGAGCACAGAGAGGUUCAAAAUCUAUCCCAAGGCCAGAGUAGUUGAGCUAGAACUCAAAUCCUGCUCAGCCUGUUACUGAAAACUCGGCCACUUGUUCAUGAGGCUGAAUCAGAAGAAUGAGGACAAAUGGUUUGAGGAGGAAGGAAAGAGAUGUUUUAUUACUUUGCCAGCAA